rnacentral:rRNA from 1 species
AUUGAACGCUGGCGGCAGGCUUAACACAUGCAAGUCGAGCGGGGGAAGGUAGCUUGCUACCGGACCUAGCGGCGGACGGGUGAGUAAUGCUUAGGAAUCUGCCUAUUAGUGGGGGACAACAUCUCGAAAGGGAUGCUAAUACCGCAUACGUCCUACGGGAGAAAGCAGGGGAUCUUCGGACCUUGCGCUAAUAGAUGAGCCUAAGUCGGAUUAGCUAGUUGGUGGGGUAAAGGCCUACCAAGGCGACGAUCUGUAGCGGGUCUGAGAGGAUGAUCCGCCACACUGGGACGGAGACACGGCCCAGACUCCUACGGGAGGCAGCAGUGGGGAAUAUUGGACAAUGGGGUGAACCCUGAUCCAGCCAUGCCGCGUGUGUGAAGAAGGCCUUAUGGUUGUAAAGCACUUUAAGCGAGGAGGAGGCUACUCUAGUUAAUACCUGGGGAUAGUGGACGUUACUCGCAGAAUAAGCACCGGCUAACUCUGUGCCAGCCGCCGCCGUAA